UACAGGGGGAGCAAGCGUUGUUCGGAUUUACUGGGCGUAAAGGGCGCGUAGGCGGUCGUGACAAGUCACUUGUGAAAUCUCCGGGCUUAACUCGGAACGGUCAAGUGAUACUGUCGGACUAGAGUACAGAAGGGGCAACUGGAAUUCUCGGUGUAGCGGUGAAAUGCGUAGAUAUCGAGAGGAACACCUGCGGCGAAGGCGGGUUGCUGGGCUGAUACUGACGCUGAGGCGCGAAAGCCAGGGGAGCGAACGGG
rnacentral:rRNA from 1 species